rnacentral:snRNA from 1 species
AUUGCUUGUUGAAUAAAGGUGCAUUUUAUCAGCUUAAUAUCUGAUACGCUCUCUAGUAGAGAGCCAGAAUAUUAAACUGAUUUUUGGGACCAGGUGGAUUUUCGGAGCUCGCUCCGGCUCCACCGCGGGUUGACCCGGCAUUACAGUGCCGCUGGGACUCAGCCCUCUCAAA